rnacentral:rRNA from 1 species
UACGUAGGGGGCAAGCGUUGUCCGGAAUUAUUGGGCGUAAAGGGCUCGUAGGCGGUUUGUCACGUCGGGAGUGAAAACUCAGGGCUCAACCCUGAGCGUGCUUCCGAUACGGGCAGACUAGAGGUAUGCAGGGGAGAACGGAAUUCCUGGUGUAGCGGUGGAAUGCGCAGAUAUCAGGAGGAACACCGGUGGCGAAGGCGGUUCUCUGGGCAUUACCUGACGCUGAGGAGCGAAAGCAUGGGGAGCGAACAGG